UACAGAGGGUGCAAGCGUUAAUCGGAAUUACUGGGCGUAAAGCGUGCGUAGGCGGAUAUUUAAGUCGAAUGUGAAAUCCCCGGGCUUAACCUGGGAACUGCAUCCGAUACUGGGUAUCUGGAGUAUGGUAGAGGAAAGUGGAAUUCCCGGUGUAGCGGUGAAAUGCGUAGAUAUCGGGAGGAACAUCAGUGGCGAAGGCGACUUUCUGGACCAAUACUGACGCUGAGGCACGAAAGCGUGGGGAGCAAACAGG
rnacentral:rRNA from 1 species